UCUGUUUCCUGUAAUCACAUUCAAUUCUUACUUCAUGCAAGGGAACCGCUUACAGAUAAGAACACUUGAGGAAAGUCCCAAACAUUCAGCCCCUUUAGUCUGACCCCGUUAAGAUUUAAGGUGAACAAUCCCACUAUACACUGGUUUCUAUAGCAAACAUUCUUUUUUUUCCCACUCCAUGCAAGGAAGUCGUUAAUAAAAGAAACAACAUACUUUCCCAGCCACGAAGAGUAUAAAGUGAAACUGCUUGAUGCACGUGGUACUUCAGAAGGGCUGAUUUAAAAGAAGUUGGAUCAGUGCUGCAAAACAGGGUAUGCAGCAUACGCAAUGAUAACUAUUAAUCCGUUGAGACUUGUGAAACCCAAUAACAAUACAAGGAGUGAAAACAAAUGAAGAAGUGAGAUAAAUAAGAAAUUAUUGAAAAAAGAAAUGGAAGUUACUAAAACGUUUGCACCAGAUAGUUUAAUCCUGGACACCAUAAAUAUGAUUAACACAAUUGACAGACCAGAAAAGUUCGUGGUAGAAGGCAUCUAUUCUGGAUCUGGAACAUAUGCAGAAGCGAACGGAAUUCCCAAGGCUGGAGCUUAUGCCGAAGCAGGAGUGGGUCGUGUUCGAGCUGAACUCAGUGUGUUAGAGGCAGAAGCCAAGGGUCCCAACGCCUCGGCUAGUGCUGAAGCAAGUGUGCUUGGAGUUGGAGCUCAUGCAGAAGCAGGAGUGGGUUGUGCCCGAGCUGGACUCAGUGUGUUAGAGGCAGAAGCCAAGGGUCCCAACGCCUCGGCUGGUGCUGGAGCAAGUGUGUUUGGAGCUAAAGCAAUGGUUCAGGCCGAGGUUGGCAGCGUGUCAGCCAAAGCUGGCCCAUUGGGUGUUAAACUGGGACUUGCAGCUGACACGGGUGCAUCUGUUGGACCUGAAGGUUUGGAGGUAAAAUUCCUGGGAACUGGAAUCAAAUUGGGUGAAGAAACCAGUGUGUCUCUAUUUGGUUCGGAAGUCUCAUGUUCAGUCAUGUAGUCAAACAGACUCUAGGCAUCCCACUCCUGGGGACGAGUGUGAAGAGCUAAUGUGGAACAAGCCAUUAUGACCAUUGCUGUUCAGAUCAAAAAAUAAAAUACAGAGAAAAAUAUUUUGUGUGCUCUUUGAUCUUGUGAAAUAAAAAAUAAAAAAAAGAA